rnacentral:tRNA from 1 species
CGCGGGGUGGAGCAGUUCGGUAGCUCGUCGGGCUCAUAACCCGGAGGUCGUGGGUUCAAAUCCUACCCCCGCAACCA